rnacentral:rRNA from 1 species
UACGUAGGGGGCAAGCGUUGUCCGGUAUCAUUGGGCGUAAAGCGCGUGUAGGCGGUUCGGUAAGUCUGCUGUGAAAGUCCAGGGCUCAACCCUGGGAUGCCGGUGGAUACUGUCGGACUAGAGUACGGAAGAGGCGAGUGGAAUUCCCGGUGUAGCGGUGAAAUGCGCAGAUAUCGGGAGGAACACCUAUGGCGAAGGCAGCUCGCUGGGACGUUACUGACGCUGAGACGCGAAAGCGUGGGGAGCAAACAGG